CCGAGCCGCAUCUGCAACCUACACCACAGCUCACGGCAACUCCGGAUCGUUAACCCACUGAGCAAGGGCAGUGACUGAACCCGCAACCUCAUGGUUCCUAGUCGGAUUCGUUAACCACUGCGCCAUGACGGGAACCCAGGAGUUGGUGGUUUUCUGCUUCCUCCUCGCACUAUGACUCUCACGAUUGGUGAGGGUCUUGACCAAGGAAGGCCGCGAGAGAAAAAAACAGCUACCCCCAUUCCCCUCCAGUAGUAAGUAGUUAAGCUGAAGUGUGGACCUACUCAGAGUGGGUUCCAAUUCUGGCCCCGCCUCUGUCACGCUGGUAAAGAUUCUUAACCUCGCUAUGCCUCGGUUUCAUCUUAUGAUAAAAAUAUCUUAAAAGAUAAUGAUAGUGUGUACAGCAUAGGGUUGAUUUGGGGAUUAAAUAAUUUAAAAGGAUUAAAUAAUUUAAAGGCAGUUUGUGACACCAGUUUUUGGGAAGCACUUUAAGGUAAUCGCAGUUCUUUUACGUCUCAGCUUUUAAAAUUUGUGGGGAGUUCCUGUUGUGUCUCAGCGGAUUACGACCCGGGUUAGUAUCCAUGAGGAUACGGGUUCAAAUCCCUGGCUUCCCUCAGUGGGUUAAGGAUCUGGCGUUGCCACAAGCUGCUGCCUAUGUUGCCGAUGCCGUUAGAAUCUGGCGUGGCUGUGGCUGUCGCGGAUUGAGACUGUGCCCUUCCUUUGUUUCAGACCCUCCCAAGACUCCUUUUGAUUAUAGCAGUGGCUCAGAGGUUGGGUGUGUGGGGCCAAGAAGGGGGUGGGGGAAGUUGGGGGGGUGGUGGGAAGAGAAUACUAGAAUAUGUCUAAUUUUUGUCUUUUUUGGUUUCUUUUUGUGUGUACAUGUUUACAAACUAUUACUUGUAAAUAAAUAUUUAUUUACUGGGGUUUGGGCUGAAAACUUAUUUUUAAGUGAUGUGCUGUCAAGACUGUAUAGAGAAUUCCAGUGUUCCAGCCUUCCCAGCCUCAUUGUCCAAAAUCCCCUGCCUAAUGCCCCAGCCCAGAGUUUGCUGUUCCAUUGUAUUCCAGGAAAAGUCCUUCCAUCUAGUCUCUUUGAUUUUUUUGUUUGUUUUUUUUACCUCCUUUCCCCUGGGAUGACACUUACUCCCCCAUCCUCCAUCUCCAUUUUUUUUUUUUUUUUUCCCUCUUUAGGGCUGUACCCGAGGCACAUGGAGAGUCCCAGGCUAGGGGUCCAAUGGGAGCUGUCGCUGCCAGCCUACAUCACAGCCAGAGCAACACAGGAUCUGAGCCAUGUCUUCGACCUACACCACCACUCACUGCAACGCUGGAUCCUUAAUCCACUGAGCAAGGCCAGGGAUGGAACCCACAACCUCAUGAUUCCUGGGCAGAUUUGUUUCCACUGCGCCAUGAUGGGAACUCCCCCCCAUCUCCAUUUUUGCAUGCCAGAUUCCUGCUCUGCUUUAGGACUUUUGCGUAUCUCCAAAAUGCUGAGGGUGCGGCCCUUACAAAAAAGAAAAGGUCGAAAGUCUUGGGUUUGGCAUUCAGGACCCUUCAGGAUCUGAUUUCCUCACACCUCGUUUCUCACCAACCUGCACUCAACCUCCUGGUGUUCUCAGCCACCCAGAAUUGCUCUCAUGCUUCCAAACUCUGUAGAAGCCUUUUCUUCUCUGCCUGUACUGAUCCCAUCUACUUGCUACCUUCCCACGGUCUCCCAGGCGAAUGCUUAAUCCGUCCGCAUCUUUUAUGGCAGUUUUUGGUGAAAGGUUCCCGAAUUCCUGAGCAUUUACUAGGCCUCUGUUGAGGUCCCAGCAGUCCUGUUAUGUAUCGAUUCCUAUCACAAAAUUUGUUAACUGAUGUCCGGCGACCCCCUCCACUGUACCAUGCCUAGGGCCCCGUGUCUGCGUGGGUGUGCAAGGAUGUCGGUGACCUGUCUGCCUCGCCAGCAAACAUCAGAAAACUACAAUUCCCAGAACCUCAGCGGAACUGCGCCUGCACCAUUGCUAUGGUGACCACAGGCGCCCGCUAGGAUUCUUGCGCUUUGCGUCAUUCGUGAUGCUACGUUGAGGGAGCGUAGGUACCUCCUCUCCGUCCGUCCUUUAUCUUUUUCUUCCCUUGUCCUGCGGUUCUCUACUUCGUGAAAGUGUAGUUUCACAGCCGAAUCAAAUAAUUUUAUGGGCAGAGACGCAAGCCAUUCACGUUCUUCCAUUCUAGAUUCGGGAAGCCUAGGCUCGGAGACCGGGUGGUACACGACUAGGCGUUCGUCGCUGCGUGGCGGCCAUCUGUUCUCCCGCAACAAAGCCUUGUUCCCUUCUUCAAAGUUUGAAAGGGUGGCUCGAUGUUAAACGAAGGCCCCCGUUCCCACUCCUCCGAAAAUUAGCCUCAGCCGCUGCGUGAGGGCGGGCUGUGGCAGAUCACAGGUAGUUUAACAAUCCCCCCUCCCACCGCCCCGGGUCUCCUUUCUCGGGACUUCUGUCUUCAACGUAUAGGAUUUCCUCGUGUUUACACGUCUCAGUCAUAACCUGAGAAUAGCUUUAACGCUACCCUUCUACAGAUAGGCCAUCUAUAAAUAUGAAUAUUGGGAACUUUAGGCCUGUAUCAGAUACCAUUGUCACGCAGAUUUGAAUAAACUGGGUAACCCGAGGAUCCUAGCACAUUUGGGGAAGGCAGUGAGAGUUUAGAAACUUAACCCUACCUUCACCCCACGCCCCCCAAAAGCCCAGAGGUAUAUUAAGCUGAAAGAUAAAGUAAUGGAUCCCAAGGCCUGAAAUAUAAUGAAAAUCAGAUUGGUUAAAAAAGAACGUGCUGUUUGGGAGUAGAUAAAAUAGCAAGUUGAAGAUGCAACAGAACCAAAGAAUCACUGAAGCAAACAAGUGCCAGGCUUAUGGUGGUAGGGGUAACCUAAUGUUGUAAACAUUCCAUCCCUAGAAUUAUACUCCCCUCAUUCUGUGUAAGGUCUCUUGACUUUAAUUAGGCUUCCCAAAUGGUACACAAAGAAGACACACUCUAAAGCCAAUGCUGCAGGCUACUGCACCUGACAUUUCUUACCAUUAAUUAACUCACUGGAGUCUGGCUUUAUAGACCAAUAUAGCUUUACUAGUGAGUCAACCUUCCUGAGUACAGAUCAGGAUUAUUAAACUACCUUGAGAAAAGCUGCCAAGAGUGGCCUUUUCAAGGAAACACUCUGCUCUGUCAGGGUGCACAGAAUUCUUAUCAAAGCAAGUUUUAUCACAUUCCUGCCCAGUGACUAGGAUAAAGACUGCAUCUUUCUUACCCUGGCUGCAAGGAGACAACCUGCAGAAGGCUUCAAGCUAUCUCAUCUGAGGGUUAAGAGUUUCAGAUAGUGUGCUGACUACUGCGAAAGGGGUGGAGGAGCCACAUAAUUCCUUUAGUCACUCAUUUAAGAGCCAAAAAUAGGAGUUCCCACUGUGGCACAGCAGGUUAAGGAUCCAGCAUUGUCUCUUCAGCAGCGCUGGUUCAGUCUCCAGCCUGGUGCAGUGGUUUAAGGAUCUGGCUUUGCUGUAGCUGUGGCAUGGAUUGCAGCUGUGGCUCAGAUUUGAUACCUGGACUGGGAACUCACAUGUGCUGUGUGAGGGGGACCAAAAAAAAGAAUAGACAAUAGCUCAAGAGCUCAGUGUGGUAGAAGAGUCAUGUAGACACACAAAUGUAUCACACAACUUUAUAAAGGCAUGAAAUGAAUAGCUAAAAUAGUGUGUAAGAAGUACACCUUCCUCAGAAAGCUUUUCCUUACCAUCCAAUUUAGGUAUCAGGUAUCAUUCCCAUCUUAUUUUCUUCGCUUUUAAAUUUUGGAUUAAAUUGUUUACUGGUUUGCCUAUCUUGCCUCACAAGACUGUAAGCACCAUAGAUGCAGUUGCCUUAACUGUCCAGCUCAGUAUUAUAUUCCUAGUGCUCAGAAAAGCACUUGGCAACAGUCGGUGUUCAAUAAACAUGCAUCAAAUGACGAUCUUUUUGCUGCCUUCAAGAAGGGAGCAGAAAGACAAGUGCCACUAGAGUAGGCCAUCUGUCAAGUGAGAAGGGAUUUAAUUCCAGGCAUAAGAAAAUUAGGAGCACCAUGAAAAAUGGACAGUUUGAGAGGAAAAUUUAGUAAUCCAUGCAAGUGCCAACCAGAACCUUUAAGAAUAAGUAGACUUGGAGUUCUCUGGUGGCUCAGUGGGCUAAGGAUCUGGUACUGUCAUUGCUGUGGUGCAGGUUCAAUCCUUGGCCAGGGAAUUUCUGCCUGCCAUGGGUGCAGUCCAAAAAAAAAAAAA
rnacentral:lncRNA from 1 species